GAUGAACGCUGGCGGCGUGCCUAAUACAUGCAAGUCGAGCGAACGGACGAGAAGCUUGCUUCUCUGAUGUUAGCGGCGGACGGGUGAGUAACACGUGGAUAACCUACCUAUAAGACUGGGAUAACUUCGGGAAACCGUAGCUAAUACCGGAUAAUAUUUUGAACCGCAUGGUUCAAAAGUGAAAGACGGUCUUGCUGUCACUUAUAGAUGGAUCCGCGCUGCAUUAGCUAGUUGGUAAGGUAACGGCUUACCAAGGCAACGAUGCAUAGCCGACCUGAGAGGGUGAUCGGCCACACUGGAACUGAGACACGGUCCAGAAUCCUACGGGAGGCAGCAGUAGGGAAUCUUCCGCAAUGGGCGAAAGCCUGACGGAGCAACGCCGCGUGAGUGAUGAAGGUCUUCGGAUCGUAAAACUCUGUUAUUAGGGAAGAACAUAUGUGUAAGUAACUGUGCACAUCUUGACGGUACCUAAUCAGAAAGCCACGGCUAACUACGU
rnacentral:rRNA from 1 species